rnacentral:rRNA from 1 species
UACGUAGGGGGCAAGCGUUGUCCGGAUUUAUUGGGCUUAAAGAGCGUGUAGGCGGCCAGACAGGUCCGUUGUGAAAACUCGAGGCUCAACCUCGAGACGCCGAUGGAAACCGUCUGGCUAGAGUCCGGAAGAGGAGAGUGGAAUUCCUGGUGUAGUGGUGAAAUGCGCAGAUAUCAGGAAGAACACCCGUGGCUAAGGCGGCUCUCUAGUACGGUACUGACGCUGAGACGCGAAAGCGUGGGGAGCGAACAGG